AACCAUAGAAACCUGCGGAGUACCUGCGGAGGGAUCAUUACACAAUGCAAUAUGAAGGCUGUCCGCAGCUGGAGUAUUUUAUUACCCUUGUCUUUUGCGCACUUGUUGUUUCCUGGGCGGGUUCGCUCGCCACCAGGACCACCAAAUAAACCUUUUUUAUGCAGUUGCAAUCAGCGUCAGUACAAACAAUGUAAAUCAUUUACAACUUUUAACAACGGAUCUCAGAUCGGAAGAGCACAC
rnacentral:misc_RNA from 1 species